rnacentral:misc_RNA from 1 species
UACAGAGGGUGCAAGCGUUAAUCGGAAUUACUGGGCGUAAAGGGUGCGUAGGUGGUUGAGUAAGUUGGAUGUGAAAGCCCUGGGCUUAACCUAGGAAUUGCGUUCAAAACUGCUUAGCUAGAGUAGAGUAGAGGGGAGUGGAAUUUCCGGUGUAGCGGUGAAAUGCGUAGAUAUCGGAAGGAACACCAGUGGCGAAGGCGACUCCCUGGAUUCAUACUGACACUGAGGCACGAAAGCAUGGGUAGCGAACAGG